GAAUGUGAAGGCGAUCUACUGCUAAAUCUGUCACCCCAUUGAUCACCAGGGCUGAUUUGGCUAAUCUGGCUGGCGAGGCUGGUGUCCCUUUCCUGCCUCACUGCUCCACAUGUAUCCCUACGGAAGUUGCACUUGGUAGAAGAGAAUGACCUUCCUCGAUAGAAGGAGGAUCAUCCUUCCAGCCGCUGUGCUCCUCUGCUAACCUCCAAACAAGUCUCAAGAAAGAAGGGGGGGAGUCUAGCUUGUCAAUCAGGUCACCACCUGAAGACGCCUCCUUGUGGGCGUGGCCUUUUCU
rnacentral:snRNA from 1 species